rnacentral:rRNA from 1 species
UUAAGCGACUAAGCGUACACGGUGGAUGCCCUGGCAGUCAGAGGCGAUGAAGGACGUGCUAAUCUGCGAUAAGCGUCGGUAAGGUGAUAUGAACCGUUAUAACCGGCGAUUUCCGAAUGGGGAAACCCAGUGUGUUUCGACACACUAUCAUUAACUGAAUCCAUAGGUUAAUGAGGCGAACCGGGGGAACUGAAACAUCUAAGUACCCCGAGGAAAAGAAAUCAACCGAGAUUCCCCCAGUAGCGGCGAGCGAACGGGGAGCAGCCCAGAGCCUGAAUCAGUGUGUGUGUUAGUGGAAGCGUCUGGAAAGGCGUGCGAUACAGGGUGACAGCCCCGUACACAAAAAUGCACAUGCUGUGAGCUCGAUGAGUAGGGCGGGACACGUGGUAUCCUGUCUGAAUAUGGGGGGACCAUCCUCCAAGGCUAAAUACUCCUGACUGACCGAUAGUGAACCAGUACCGUGAGGGAAAGGCGAAAAGAACCCCGGCGAGGGGAGUGAAAAAGAACCUGAAACCGUGUACGUACAAGCAGUGGGAGCACGCUUAGGCGUGUGACUGCGUACCUUUUGUAUAAUGGGUCAGCGACUUAUAUUCUGUAGCAAGGUUAACCGAAUAGGGGAGCCGAAGGGAAACCGAGUCUUAACUGGGCGUUAAGUUGCAGGGUAUAGACCCGAAACCCGGUGAUCUAGCCAUGGGCAGGUUGAAGGUUGGGUAACACUAACUGGAGGACCGAACCGACUAAUGUUGAAAAAUUAGCGGAUGACUUGUGGCUGGGGGUGAAAGGCCAAUCAAACCGGGAGAUAGCUGGUUCUCCCCGAAAGCUAUUUAGGUAGCGCCUCGUGAAUUCAUCUCCGGGGGUAGAGCACUGUUUCGGCAAGGGGGUCAUCCCGACUUACCAACCCGAUGCAAACUGCGAAUACCGGAGAAUGUUAUCACGGGAGACACACGGCGGGUGCUAACGUCCGUCGUGAAGAGGGAAACAACCCAGACCGCCAGCUAAGGUCCCAAAGUCAUGGUUAAGUGGGAAACGAUGUGGGAAGGCCCAGACAGCCAGGAUGUUGGCUUAGAAGCAGCCAUCAUUUAAAGAAAGCGUAAUAGCUCACUGGUCGAGUCGGCCUGCGCGGAAGAUGUAACGGGGCUAAACCAUGCACCGAAGCUGCGGCAGCGACACUAUGUGUUGUUGGGUAGGGGAGCGUUCUGUAAGCCUGUGAAGGUGUACUGUGAGGUAUGCUGGAGGUAUCAGAAGUGCGAAUGCUGACAUAAGUAACGAUAAAGCGGGUGAAAAGCCCGCUCGCCGGAAGACCAAGGGUUCCUGUCCAACGUUAAUCGGGGCAGGGUGAGUCGACCCCUAAGGCGAGGCCGAAAGGCGUAGUCGAUGGGAAACAGGUUAAUAUUCCUGUACUUGGUGUUACUGCGAAGGGGGGACGGAGAAGGCUAUGUUGGCCGGGCGACGGUUGUCCCGGUUUAAGCGUGUAGGCUGGUUUUCCAGGCAAAUCCGGAAAAUCAAGGCUGAGGCGUGAUGACGAGGCACUACGGUGCUGAAGCAACAAAUGCCCUGCUUCCAGGAAAAGCCUCUAAGCAUCAGGUAACAUCAAAUCGUACCCCAAACCGACACAGGUGGUCAGGUAGAGAAUACCAAGGCGCUUGAGAGAACUCGGGUGAAGGAACUAGGCAAAAUGGUGCCGUAACUUCGGGAGAAGGCACGCUGAUAUGUAGGUGAAGCGACUUGCUCGUGGAGCUGAAAUCAGUCGAAGAUACCAGCUGGCUGCAACUGUUUAUUAAAAACACAGCACUGUGCAAACACGAAAGUGGACGUAUACGGUGUGACGCCUGCCCGGUGCCGGAAGGUUAAUUGAUGGGGUUAGCCGCAAGGCGAAGCUCUUGAUCGAAGCCCCGGUAAACGGCGGCCGUAACUAUAACGGUCCUAAGGUAGCGAAAUUCCUUGUCGGGUAAGUUCCGACCUGCACGAAUGGCGUAAUGAUGGCCAGGCUGUCUCCACCCGAGACUCAGUGAAAUUGAACUCGCUGUGAAGAUGCAGUGUACCCGCGGCAAGACGGAAAGACCCCGUGAACCUUUACUAUAGCUUGACACUGAACAUUGAGCCUUGAUGUGUAGGAUAGGUGGGAGGCUUUGAAGUGUGGACGCCAGUCUGCAUGGAGCCGACCUUGAAAUACCACCCUUUAAUGUUUGAUGUUCUAACGUUGACCCGUAAUCCGGGUUGCGGACAGUGUCUGGUGGGUAGUUUGACUGGGGCGGUCUCCUCCUAAAGAGUAACGGAGGAGCACGAAGGUUGGCUAAUCCUGGUCGGACAUCAGGAGGUUAGUGCAAUGGCAUAAGCCAGCUUGACUGCGAGCGUGACGGCGCGAGCAGGUGCGAAAGCAGGUCAUAGUGAUCCGGUGGUUCUGAAUGGAAGGGCCAUCGCUCAACGGAUAAAAGGUACUCCGGGGAUAACAGGCUGAUACCGCCCAAGAGUUCAUAUCGACGGCGGUGUUUGGCACCUCGAUGUCGGCUCAUCACAUCCUGGGGCUGAAGUAGGUCCCAAGGGUAUGGCUGUUCGCCAUUUAAAGUGGUACGCGAGCUGGGUUUAGAACGUCGUGAGACAGUUCGGUCCCUAUCUGCCGUGGGCGCUGGAGAACUGAGGGGGGCUGCUCCUAGUACGAGAGGACCGGAGUGGACGCAUCACUGGUGUUCGGGUUGUCAUGCCAAUGGCACUGCCCGGUAGCUAAAUGCGGAAGAGAUAAGUGCUGAAAGCAUCUAAGCACGAAACUUGCCCCGAGAUGAGUUCUCCCUGACUCCUUGAGAGUCCUGAAGGAACGUUGAAGACGACGACGUUGAUAGGCCGGGUGUGUAAGCGCAGCGAUGCGUUGAGCUAACCGGUACUAAUGAACCGUGAGGCUUAACCUU